GUUCUUUUGAUUAAGAAGCAAAGUACCAUUUUCAAUAGGAAAAUUAGAAGCAUUCACCAUUGCCAGUAAAAGUGAGCUUCCAUCCCUUACAUGACCUAUUGAAUUCAUUUUCUAACAAUUUGAUUUUAAUUGUGCACGAGUGAAAACUUCUCAAUCAAUAGAGAGAUGUAUGACUAAAAGAAAGUAAGUUUCAUAUGUUUGUAAUGGGGAUAUUUGGUGAGCAGUAAAGUAACAAAGAAAGCAGUUAUUUCACAAAGUAGUGAGUCAUGCAGACACUCAUGUGCAUGCAGUUUUCCCCCCAUUUAACAAAAUUCAUAGGCUUCCAUAGCCCAAUAUCUUAAAAAAUGCUUAGCCAAUGUAAACUGGAUACAUAAAUGCUUAUGGCAUACACAGUGUAUACACUAUGCUGCAUAUGGUUCAAAUAUUGUGAUUAUUUUUACAGAAACAAAAAACUAAACACAGUAUUAGCAUUUCUAUCUUUGUAAUCACAAGGGAAGAUUUAUUUGUAAUCUGAAAAUAGUGGAGGAAAGCCAGAAUCACUACAUUCUGUAUAGAUUUACAAAGCACAUAUAAAUGUUCUUUCUGUAUUAGGGAUGUGUAAGAGCACGGAAUUUAAGGUUGAAUGGAAUUAAGAUCUACAUACAUUUUCAAUAAGCCAAGAUGAAGGAAUGUCAUUCUUUAAACAUUCACAUUCUACUAUAAAAACAGGAGAGAAAAAUGUAAAAACUUGAAUGGGUCCUCACCUUUGAAUAUCACCUCACUGAAUUGCUGCAGACAAAACAAGCCAAAAGUCCCACUCAAAUAAUGAACUACAGUUACCACAUUUUCCAUAGCUUUAAAGAAAAAGAUGAGGUACACUCACUGAUCAGUACAAUGAAGGUUGGCAUGAACAUUCACUUUGCUUCAAAGGAAAUCCACGCAUUGGUGUGCUGAGGACAAACAGAAGUUUCCAAGCAAGAUGGAAUCCGCGAGGGACAAUACUCCCCAAGUGUUCAAGAUGUAUCUGCAGAAAAACUUGUUUCACUGUUCUUUAAAAAAAAAAUUCUUGGGGCCGGGGAUUUAGCUUAUUGGUUCUGCUGCCUGCCUUGCAAGAGCAAGGACCCGAGUUCAAUCCCCGGUACCAAAAAAAAAAAAAAAAAAUUCUUCCACUUAUAUUAUGUUCCAGACUCAGCAUAAAUUCUUAAAUUCAUGCAGAGCACUUCCAUGACCGAGCUCUUGGUCAACUUCCCACACUGUGGCUCCACAGAUAAAGAAGAAAUAAUAAUAAAGGAAUAAUUUUUUUUUUGGUUUUGCCUUAGUGAAUCAUUUUAAUUUUGAAAAUCAUUUUAAUUUUGUGGUUCAAUUAGGCUUAUUCUUACAUUCCCUACCCCCAGGUAUUUGUGCAGUGCUCCUGUUGGCAUUAGCCUUGUUGGAAAGAGGAACACUAGGACUGCAGCCCUGGACAUUCCUCUUGAGGCCUAUGACUGUGUUAGCAUAAAUCUAGAAAAAGAUUAGGGUUUUAUUUUGUUUCAUUUUGUUUAUACCGGGGAUCGAACUCAGGACCUUGUGACUGCAAGGCAGGUGGCAGAAUCACUGAACUAAAUCCCCAGCCCACCUAGGUUUUUCUUUUCUUUUUUUUUUUUUAAUUGAUGGGGUAUAAGAGGAAACACAGCACCAUCUUUUCCUUACAUUUGAUGCCAUCUUUCAUUUAUUCUGGGC
rnacentral:lncRNA from 1 species